CCCAGAUAAAUUUAUUCCCAAAAUGAAUAAUAGUUUUUACAGAUGUAAAUAAUUACACAUACGAGACAUAUUUGGAUAUUGCAUUCCCGCUUCGGGCAUCUAGCAUAAACUUCUUUCCAAAUUUAUUUUCUGAUGUAGAUGCUUCAUACUUCCAGGUGAUAUUUGUAUUUUAGCUGAAAGUCAUCAUGUAUUGUAUCCAAAAAGCUUGAGCAAAAGUGAAAUGCCAUAGGCAUUAAUUCACAAGAAUGACAUGGCUAUACUCGUUGAAACAUGAAGGUGAAGUUCAUAAAAUCUUCUGAUAGUAUCAUUCAAUGAUUCAGAUUCCAUUCUUGUCUAAAAUUGUCCUGACAAUGGUAGAGGAAGUCAAUCAAAAAUUUCGAGCUUCAUGGUCUAUUCCAUGAAAACUCUUGUACUCAAGCUAUGCAACAAAAUGGGAUUGCCACUGAAAGAAUAGACAUAUCUUGGAAUAGCCUAUUAAGAAGUAUAAACUCUAAUUCUAUUCCAUCGAAAGCAAUUAAUUUGAAGAAAAAUAAAUACUCGAGAACGCAUAAGAUUUAUAGAGGUUCGCCUUAAUGUGAGAUUACAUCCUCUCCCAUCGCUGCAGUAAUUCAAUAUGACCAAAAAAUUAAAAAAUUAAAAAAAAAAUAUUUAAAAAUAAAAUAAAAUCGCGCUCCUAUCUUCUCUAUCCUCUCUUUCUCUCUUUUUGAUGAUAAUAAUAAAGCUUAAAGACAAUUCCCUAUUUUUAAGAUAGAUUAGGGAAAAACCGAAAUUAUACAAGGAUUUCAAUUCCUUCAGAAUUUUACAAGAAUAUAAAUUCUUAAACAAUACUUAGAUUAAAUUUUGGAAGGGUUCUUCGCCUCUUGCGAAUACUUAGAAUACCUGUUGCCCCCUUUCAGCCCCCAAGACGACGUCAGGAGGUCGAUCCACUAUUAGCUCCACGAAGUGGAAAUAAUUAUGAUAGAUAAUAAUAAUCAGGUUCUACAACUUAAUAUAUCCAUCGCUUUAGUGAUUGGGUCACAUAUGUCUUACCCUUAUUGGGAUGAGGAGAUUGUUACAACUUUACAAAUGUUGAAUUGUAUUCCAUCAAAUAUAUUGCAACUAAAAACCCCAUACAUAGAUGUGUCAUUUUCAUUCACCUUAAUAAAAAUCAACACACAAAGCUUGACCCCAUGCGUAGCGUAUUUAUUUGGGGGUAUGCCACACAAACAAGAGGAAAGUUGUUACAAUUUUGCUAUCAAGCGAACCUAUGUUACUUUGGAUGUCACUUUCUUAUAAUUUGGACCAUUUUUCUUGUCAUUUGUAUCGAAUACUUCUCUUCAGGGGAACUACAGGAUGAAGAGUAUGAUUGGCUAAAGUGGUAAAAUUUGAAGACCCGUCAGAAAUAAAAAAACUACCAAUGUCAACCAUUGAGCUAAAAAAGGGAUAACAAAAAUACUCGUCAAACCCGAUAUCUGUGAGGCCUUGCCUCGAAGGGAAAGGGGAUUACCCACUUAAUCUAGUAAUUGGAGCAAGUACGGG
rnacentral:lncRNA from 1 species